rnacentral:rRNA from 1 species
AGUGAACGCUGGCGGUAGGCCUAACACAUGCAAGUCGAACGGCAGCACAGUAAGAGCUUGCUCUUACGGGUGGCGAGUGGCGGACGGGUGAGGAAUACAUCGGAAUCUACUUUUUCGUGGGGGAUAACGUAGGGAAACUUACGCUAAUACCGCAUACGACCUACGGGCGAAAUCAGUGGAUCUUCGGACCUUGCGCGACUGAAUGAGCCGAUGUCGGAUUAGCUAGUUGGCGGGGUAAAGGCCCACCAAGGCGACGAUCCGUAGCUGGUCUGAGAGGAUGAUCAGCCACACUGGAACUGAGACACGGUCCAGACUCCUACGGGAGGCAGCAGUGGGGAAUAUUGGACAAUGGGCGCAAGCCUGAUCCAGCCAUACCGCGUGGGUGAAGAAGGCCUUCGGGUUGUAAAGCCCUUUUGUUGGGAAAGAAAAGCAGCAGGUUAAUACCCCGCUGUUCUGACGGUACCCAAAGAAUAAGCACCGGCUAACUUCGUG